GCUCCCCCAUUCAGGGAGCAUGUGCAGAAUGCCAGCUUAGAAGCCAAGAAUGCUGGAGAGUGAAUCCAAAAAAGGAGUUCUCUUUGGAGGAAGAAGGAAACAAUGUUGAAAAGAAAGGGCAUAAAAAGAGAAUGAGCUGGGCGUGAGUGUCAACAGCAGCCCAGAUUGGAGGCCCAGAACCUACUGAAGAUUCCAGAAGCCUGCCAGGCUCCUUUGCCAGAGAAGAAGAAUAAAAAACAACCCACUGAAAACUUCAGUUGUUCAGGUAAGAUCAACAAACUAGAUGAGUGAAAGGGAGCCAGAAGCAGAAACGGGACAAGGAAAUAGACUAUUAGUGUGACAAGCGCUCCGAUAUGGACUGCCACAAGGAUAUAGCUUCUCCGUGAGUAAAAUGGAAGUGAUACCACCUAUCUCACAGAGCAGCUCUGAAGGCCAAAAAGAUGACACAUACAAAGCACUUAGCACCAUGCCUAGAAUAAUUAAUACUUCUCAGAUCCUCUUUAUCUCAGCUCAACACACUCCCAACUGGUCCAACAAGUUCCCAAAAGUGUCUGAGAGAGCUGUAAAAUACAGAUUCCUAGGCUCCACUCCAGAUCUACAAAAUUAGUAUGUCUGGGGAGAAGGCCCAGAUGAUUCUGAUACACAUUUCCAUGGGGAACCACUGGAUAGGACCAUAUCAUUAGCCCACAUCAGUCUAACUUUCAGAGGAAAAGCAAGAGGAAUCCACAUUUUUUGGAAACCUACACUGUGCUUGAUGCAGUGCUAGCAGCUUUCACUUGAAAGAUACAUUUGUCUCUUUCUCAUAAUUUCUCACAGUUCACCAGGGUGAGGCUAGGUGACAAUGAUUUGAAAAAGUUAUAUGACACAGAACACAGAUAUAACAUAUAUUUUCAUCCCUGUAACUCUAGCCUCGCCAGGGAAUUGCUCCUGGGAUUACAGUUGACCCUAGUUUUCCUCCUGGUUCCUGCGUUUGAAACCCAUUUCACUUUAUUAAAAAACCUUCUAUAUUGUCCAACCUAUACUAAUAACAAUAGUAAUACUAUCAGUUAAUGUCAGGCCAAGCAGCUCAUGCCUGUAAUCCCAGCACUUUAAGAGGCCGAGCUGGGCAGCUUAGAUGAGUCCAGCAAUUUGAGACCAGCCUGGGCAACAUGGUGAAGCCCCGUCUCAACAAAAAAUAUUAAAAAAAAUAAAUAAAAAUUUAUAUUUUUUGUUGAGACGGGGCUUCACCAUGUUGCCCAGGCAUUAACUGGAAGAAACAGAAACAAGGAAUUAAGUGUGUUCACAUUCUUUGAUCUAAGGACUAGAGGCAGGACUGAGAAAGCAGCAGAGAAUGAAUUCACCUGACUUUACUGCCAUCGUGUGGUCGUCUCAUGCAUAGACAACUGGCUCACAAUUCUGCAUUCAUUUUUCCAGUCAUUGAGCCUACUAGGCCCUCUGCAAGGCAAUGUGAAAAUAAGGCCAAUUGAAUCAGAAGACCUGACCUUGAGGCUAUUGUAACAGCCUUGCUUUCCUCUGGAGUCACCAAGCUGGAAGUCACCUUAGUCACCAACUACUCCAGGGGUGAGCACCUCAUUCUCAUGCAGACUAUGUCAGAAAAGAUAGAAAUGUUUAUAAGCACCGUCAUUAUUUUUCUAUUCAAAAUGAAAGUAGCUUAGUGGCCUAUGGGAUGUAUAGAGUCUCAUUACUUUAAGCACCUCACUAUUUUUAAUAGAAGAUGAUCAGUGAGAAAAUCUAAUGGUAAAUUAGCUUUCUAAUCUGUUAUGCCUUGUACCUGUAGAGCAUUGUUUUCAUAAAGCACAUUUAUCUGCAUGUUGUCAUGUUAUGGCCAAAACAAUUUUGGAAGGUAGGUAUAUUAGUCCAUUCUCAUGCUGCUAUGAA
rnacentral:lncRNA from 1 species